AGUCCAUAAGGGAGUAGAGCGGAUCCAUCUUGGUUUGGAUGUCACAUCCUGGAGAUUUGCUGUAUUAGCAGUCUCUGAGGGUUGUGGCGGUAUCUUUUUUUUUUUGUUCUUUUCGUUGUAGUCCCUCAGGGGGUCUUUCGUUGGUGGGUUGGACGAGUGGGAGCUCCUGGGAUGAAUUCGGCCACGGUAGUUGGGUCCACUUGGGUGAGGUCUGACCCCUCUGUGUGAGUGGGCGGCAGCAGACCUGCAUUGCGUAGGUGUGAGUCCAGUUCAGGGUAGCUCCUGGCUCGGUACAUUGUGUCUUGAUGGGUAAAGGUAAUCAUAUUUGGAGACCCCCAUUUGUACUGGAUAUUCUUAUUUCUGAG